GCAGGCGCGCCUAGGAGUGGCCGCGAAGCUAGUCCCCAAACAAAGCUGGAGCCAAUGCGCUCUCUGGGGUCCUUCACAUCCUGCUACUCAACGACCUGAAGGUACCAGGUGGAUACUUGAGUGCUAAGCUGGUUGUCCUUGGGCCCUUCAUGCCAGGCUCCCAGAGGCCCUGCACUCUGAACAUCAGGCAAUGCCUCUCUAUGAUACAUAGCUUUAAUCAGCAGCAAAAUAAAAUGGGGCUCAUUGAAUAAGGCUUACAAAGAUGAUGAGCUCCUGCCUGGGUUUGCACUGCCUGCUGUGCGGACGAGCCGCAUCUGUGGACUCCUCCUUAGUCAGACCAAGCUGCCAUCUUUACCUUGGCUCCAAAGGUGACCUAUGAGCUGCCACACCUACUCUAGGAAUGCCCAGCAAAGUCCUGACUUGGCAACAGGGACCAGGGAUAGAGACUUUGACACAUCUCCGGUGACUCUUCUGGAAAGGAGUGGAAGAUCUGCCGGUGAGCAAUAGAAGCGUCACACCCCGGUUCCCAAACCCAGCCCUAGACAUUCUGGUGCCAAGAGGUGUCACUUCCUGGCAAAGGUGAAGGGAGGGUCAGUUUCUCCCUGCUGUUCCUGAUUCCAUCAGCUCUUGACCCACAGAGCAAACAUGUGCCCAGCCUCUGCAGCGACAACCAGGUGUUCUCCUGGACUCACCCUGGCCCAGAUCCGCUCGGUGGAGUUGGCAUCUGCUGUGAGCCUCCCAUUUGAUUUGACGGUUUCCAUUUAGUAGGUAUUUGUAGAUGCAGCCAGUCCUUUGAAGAAUUAUUAUGCUCAUAAAGUGCAGAGAAAAUGGUAUAGCCCUGCCUACUUCUCAGUUUUCUGAGGCUCAGGAAUCAGCACGUUGUUUUCCUGAUUUCGCUCUAGGCUUUCUUCACUCCCGUAAUGAGCAGUAGGGGUCACUGUGUAGCCACAGAACGCCUCCACGAGGCUCCAGAAAUCUAACUCCACCUACCUCUGGGCUGGACCAGAACACUUGGAUGAAACGGCCACGUCACCACAUCUUCACAAAGUCAGGGGACACAUUUAGCAGGAUCUUUUCUGAUUGAAAUGAUCAAUGGCUAUUUCUAUGUUGCUGAAGUGAAAAUGAAUAUAGUGGUUUGGGUUGGAAUCACUAUGUUGAUAUAAUACAUAUAUAGUGAUAUAAAUGACUAUAUUGAUAUAAAUGAUAUUGCCACCAACUCGUUAUGCUCCUGAAUUUCCUCAAUUAGUUUGAAAAUUGGUCCAUUUUCCCCAAAUAAGCUUAGAAUACAGUUUUGUUUUGUUUUAGACAGAGUCUUGCUCUGUUGCACAAGCUGGAGUGCAGUGGUGCAAUCUUGGCUCACUGCAACCUCUGCCUCCCGGGUUCAAGCGAUUCUCCUGCCUCAGCCUCCCAAGUAGCUGGGAUUAUAGGCAUAUGCCACCACAUCCGGCUAAUUUUUAUUUUUCGGAGAGAUGGAGUUUCACCAUGUUGGCCAGCCUGGAUACGAACAGAAUAUACAGUUUUAAUUGCAUGUGUGUAUAUGUUUAGAUACUGAUAAGCAAACAUUGUGUUAAAAACCAAGUAUCGCAUUAUUCUGUUUUUUAAGACCUAGAUUUAUGGAAGAUAAACAUUAGAAAACAAUAUUCAGCAGUCUUGUUUCUAGUUUUAACAUUGACCUAAUGUGAAACAGAAGAAAAUUUGGGAUCAAUAAUAACACCACUUUGGUACCAACCACAGAACAAAAAAAGUUGAAAAAAAAAAAACAACCCACACCCUCAAAAGAUAACAAUGUAGUAUGUACGAAAAAAGUGAGUAGAAAUAAAAUAAAAUCAGAUACUAUGUGGGAAAGGGCUUUGUUGUCCAUACAUUGCCAUAGUUGGCCCAGGCAAGGAUAGUGGCAAUUGAAACACUUUCUAAGAUGCACAGCCCUGCAAGUCAGCUUUUGGCUGAUUUCCUGGGUAUUUAACUUGGAAUUGGACAACGGCCCUGGCUGCUCCUCACAACCCCUACCACCUCUGUCCACCAGGGGGCUUCACUCUUUUCCGCUUGGAUUCUCUUUACAUCCUCCACCGGUCCCCAACUCCACUCACCCAUCCCCCAGUAGAUUCCCUCCACUCUCCCCAUUUCCCUUCUUGUUUCCCACCUGGUCUACGAUCUAGCCAUUAAGGCUUCGGGGAGAAACAUAGGAAAAUCAGCACAGCCCACCAACUCCACUGCCUUGAAACUGCUUCUGCGUCUGUCGGCCCGCCUGCUUUCCACAGUACGGCAAAUCCUGGGCGUUCAACAAAUAUUGUGGACCACCACUACACUAGAACCACCAAAGAAAUAUGAUCAAGGCUGCACAAAGUAGUGCACUGAGGAUCCACUGCUAAUGAAUUUGGAAAAAUUAAAAGUCACAGGCCGGGCGCGGUGGCUCAAGGCUGGGCGCAGUGGCUCACGCCUAUAGUCCCAGCACUUUGGGAGGCUGAAGCGGGU
rnacentral:lncRNA from 10 species